rnacentral:rRNA from 1 species
GAUGAACGCUGGCGGCGUGCCUAAUACAUGCAAGUCGAGCGAACAGACGAGGAGCUUGCUCCUCUGACGUUAGCGGCGGACGGGUGAGUAACACGUGGAUACCCUACCUAUAAGACUGGGAUAACUUCGGGAAACCGGAGCUAAUACCAGAUAAUAUAUUGAACCGCAUGGUUCAAUAGUGAAAGACGGUUUUGCUGUCACUUAUAGAUGGAUCCGCGCCGCAUUAGCUAGUUGGUAAGGUAACGGCUUACCAAGGCAACGAUGCGUAGCCGACCUGAGAGGGUGAUCGGCCACACUGGAACUGAGCCACGGUCCAGACUCCUACGGGAGGCAGCAGUAGGGAAUCUUCCGCAAUGGGCGAAAGCCUGACGGAGCAACGCCGCGUGAGUGAUGAAGGUCUUCGGAUCGUAAAACUCUGUUAUUAGGGAAGAACAAAUGUGUAAGUAACUAUGCACGUCUUGACGGUACCUAAUCAGAAAGCCACGGCUAACUACGUG